UACGGAGGGUGCAAGCGUUAAUCGGAAUUACUGGGCGUAAAGCGCACGCAGGCGGUUUGUUAAGUCAGAUGUGAAAUCCCCGGGCUCAACCUGGGAACUGCAUCUGAUACUGGCAAGCUUGAGUCUCGUAGAGGGGGGUAGAAUUCCAGGUGUAGCGGUGAAAUGCGUAGAGAUCUGGAAGAACACCGAUGGCGAAGGCAGCCCCCUGGGCCAACACUGACGCUCAGGCACGAAAGCGUGGGGAGCAAACAGG
rnacentral:rRNA from 1 species